AUCUUCCUUAGUCCAAUGAGCAAC
rnacentral:snRNA from 1 species